UACGAAGGGAGCUAGCGUUGUUCGGAAUUAUUGGGCGUAAAGAGCUCGUAGGCGGCUUGUCACGUCGGUUGUGAAAGCCCGAGGCUUAACCUCGGGUCUGCAGUCGAUACGGGCUAGCUAGAGUGUGGUAGGGGAGAUCGGAAUUCCUGGUGUAGCGGUGAAAUGCGCAGAUAUCAGGAGGAACACCGGUGGUGAAGGCGGAUCUCUGGGCCAUUACUGACGCUGAGGAGCGAAAGCGUGGGGAGCGAACAGG
rnacentral:rRNA from 1 species